CCUACGGGAGGCAGCAGUAGGGAAUCUUCCGCAAUGGACGCAAGUCUGACGGAGCAACGCCGCGUGAGUGAAGAAGGAUUUCGGUUCGUAAAACUCUGUUGUUAGAGAAGCGGUAUCUAACCAGAAAGCCACGGCUAACUACGUGCCAGCAGCCGCGGUAAUACGUAGGUGGCAAGCGUUGUCCGGAUUUAUUGGGCGUAAAGCGAGCGCAGGCGGUCAAUUAAGUCUGAUGUGAAAGCCCCCGGCUCAACCGGGGAGGGUCAUUGGAAACUGGUUGACUUGAGUGCAGAAGAGGAGAGUGGAAUUCCAUGUGUAGCGGUGAAAUGCGUAGAUAUAUGGAGGAACACCAGUGGCGAAGGCGACUCUCUGGUCUGUACUGACGCUGAGGCUCGAAAGCGUGGGUAGCAAACAGGAUUAGAUACCCUUGUAGUC
rnacentral:rRNA from 1 species